AGUCUAUUGGUGUAGACAAAGCACGUAAAUUUUUGGUAUUUAAAGAAGCUUUGGCUGUAGGCUU
rnacentral:tRNA from 1 species